rnacentral:piRNA from 1 species
UCCUCUAGGUGACAGGAUAAAGUGUGA